GAUGAAGAACGCAGCGAAAUGCGAUAAGUAAUGCGAAUUGCAGAAUCCGUGAGUCAUCGAAUCUUUGAACGCACAUUGCGCCCCUUGGUUAUUCCGAAGGGCAUGCCUGUUCGAGCGUCAUUAUCACCCCUCAAGCCCUGGCUUGGUGUUGGACUUUAGUUAUAGCUUUGCCUAUCAACUGGUCUCACAGAUAGUGACGGCGCCCCAGAGGGAACCGGGUACGAGGAGCUUUUUACUAAGCAUGUAUCUGGGACGACUCUGGGCGACGGUCUUGUUAUACUUUUUACCUAAGUGUUGACCUCGGAUCAGGUAGGAAUACCCGCUGAACUUAAGCAUAUCAAUAAGCGGAGG
rnacentral:misc_RNA from 1 species